rnacentral:sRNA from 1 species
CUUUAGUGAGAGUCUCAUGGUCUUGGUCGUAGAGGAGAAGGAGUUUUGUUGAGUUCUUGUGAUGCCACUCAUAGAGGAGAAGGAGUUUUGCAGGGUUCUUGUGGUGAAGCUUGUAGAGAAGGUGUAGUGUUCUCAAUCCACACACAACCUUGUUAAGGUGAAAAGGGAAUCGAUUCUAUGUUUGCCUAAAUCGAUUUUGUGCUACCAAGGAAGAUGAUGGAAUCAAUUUUGUGCUGCCAAGGAAAAUGAUGGAAUCGAUUGUGCUGCCAAGGAAAAUGAUGGAAUCGAUUUUGUGCUGUCAAGGAAGAUGAUGGAAUCGAUUCUUUGAUGCCAAGGAAGACAAUGGAAUAGAUUUUGUUCUACCAAGGAAGACGAUGGAAUUGAUUUUGUGCUUGUGAUUGCAAAGAUGAAAUAACAUGGAAUCAAUUCCAUGGUCUUAUAAAUGCAAGUGGAAUCAAUUAUGUUCGUAUGUUGGGUAUGAUGGAAUCAAGUAUGGUUGUAGUAGAAUCGAUGAUGUGGCAUUUGACGAAUAAAAUGAGACUGAAAUUGAUUCCAUGGUCUCAUAACAUGCAGAUGAAAUCUAGUUUGGAUGUGAUGUUCAUGUAAUAUUUGACUGUGUUCUUUUCUUUUUGAGUUGGACGACGUCCAGUAUAGUGGUUCUUGGUGGUCUGUGGUGAAGAAGUCUUGGUUGACGGUAUUGAUAGUAGGAUAAGGAGUUGGUUUUCUUAUUCUUCAAUAGGUUAGAGGUGUUAAUAAUUUGGUAUGCUAGUAAUUGUUAUCAUAAUUAAUUUUGUAUGAUGAUAAAUAUACAUUAGUUAAUU